AACAGGGAUUGCCCUAGUAACGGCGAGUGAAGCGGCAACAGCUCAAAUUUGAAAUCUGGCCCUCGGGUCCGAGUUGUAAUUUGUAGAGGAUGCUUUUGGUGCGGUGCCUUCCGAGUUCCCUGGAACGGGACGCCAUAGAGGGUGAGAGCCCCGUCUGGUUGGACGCCAAUCCUCUGUAAAGCUCCUUCGACGAGUCGAGUAGUUUGGGAAUGCUGCUCUAAAUGGGAGGUAUAUGUCUUCUAAAGCUAAAUAUUGGCCAGAGACCGAUAGCGCACAAGUAGAGUGAUCGAAAGAUGAAAAGCACUUUGAAAAGAGAGUUAAAAAGUACGUGAAAUUGUUGAAAGGGAAGCGCUCAUGACCAGACUUGGGCUUGGUAGAUCAACCUGGGUUCUCCCUGGUGCACUCUUCCUCGUUCAGGCCAGCAUCAGUUCGCUGCGGGGGAUAAAGGUUUCGGGAAUGUGGCUCCCUCGGGAGUGUUAUAGCCCGUUGCGUAAUACCCUGCGGUGGACUGAGGUUCGCGUUCUGCAAGGAUGCUGGCGUAAUGGUCAUCAGUGACCCGUCUUGAAACACGGACCAAGGAGUCGUCUUCGUAUGCGAGUGUUCGGGUGUUAAACCCCUACGCGUAAUGAAAGUGAACGCAGGUGAGAGCUUCGGCGCAUCAUCGACCGAUCCUGAUGUUCUCGGAUGGAUUUGAGUAAGAGCAUACGGGGCCGGACCCGAAAGAAGGUGAACUAUGCCUGUAUAGGGUGAAGCCAGAGGAAACUCUGGUGGAGGCUCGCAGCGGUUCUGACGUGCAAAUCGAUCGUCAAAUAUGGGCAUGGGGGCGAAAGACUAAUCGAACCUC
rnacentral:rRNA from 1 species